CGCAGAUGAUGUAAGUGAAUAUUUGCUAUCUUACCCCCGCUGAAGACGACCUUCCCACCAAGAUCGCUGAUGCG